UGAUUAAGUACUAAUGGUAAUUAAUAUUAAUUACUGAUUAAGACUAAACCGUGUGGCUAUGGUGGGCUUAUAAAAUCCGCUCACACGGCUCUCAUCUUCUUCCAAGAGAGACUCCACCAAAAGCAUCUUUCUACUAAAGCUUGGUGAGGCUGAGUUUCCCGGCGAAGAAGAAACGCACAGAUUUCUAUACUUCAAUUAAACUUUAUUUGUGUUGGAGAUGAUGACUUAUUUCAGAGUUUCAGAUCAUGAGUAAAGCCUGCUGAUAAAGGUAAAACAAACGAAGACCUGAAGAUUUCAUUCGAAACCUCCAGAUGAAACUCAAAAACUAUCUUCUCUUCUAUACUGUAACUGUUGAAGUCUCUCUCCGUUCUUUAUGGCAACUUAACUGUUCUAAGGACAUUUUUUCCUGACUUUAUAUUAAGUUUGAAUAGAAAGUUCAAACUUCUUGAUGAAAGCUUAA